UAGGGAAUAUUGGACAAUGGGUGAGAGCCUGAUCCAGCCAUGCCGCGUGCAGGAAGAAGGCGUUAUGCGUUGUAAACUGCUUUUUGCCAGGGGAUAAAAAGACCGUGCGCGGUUAAUUGAAGGUACCUGGUGAAUAAGCCACGGCUAACUACGUGCCAGCAGCCGCGGUAAUACGUAGGUGGCAAGCGUUGUCCGGAUUUAUUGGGUUUAAAGGGUGCGUAGGUGGCCCUGUAAGUCAGUGGUGAAAUAUCUCAGCUUAACUGAGAGGGUGCCAUUGAUACUGCAGGGCUUGAGUACAGAUGAGGUAGGCGGAAUUGACGGUGUAGCGGUGAAAUGCAUAGAUAUCGUCAAGAACACCGAUAGCGAAGGCAGCUUACCAAGCUGUAACUGACACUGAGGCACGAAAGUGUGGGGACUCAAACAGGAUUAGAUACCCCCGUAGUCCCUGAGCGGGCUGGCAAGGCGCAU
rnacentral:rRNA from 1 species